GACGAACGCUGGCGGCGUGCUUAACACAUGCAAGUCGAGCGGUAAGGCCCUUUCGGGGGUACACGAGCGGCGAACGGGUGAGUAACACGUGGGUGACCUACCCUCAGCUCUGGGAUAAGCCUGGGAAACCGGGUCUAAUACUGGAUAUGACUCCAUGACGCAUGUUGUGGGGUGGAAAGCCUUGUGCGGCUGAGGAUGGGCCCGCGGCCUAUCAGCUUGUUGGUGGGGUGAUGGCCUACCAAGGCGACGACGGGUAGCCGGCCUGAGAGGGCGACCGGCCACACUGGGACUGAGACACGGCCCAGACUCCUACGGGAGGCAGCAGUGGGGAAUCUUGCGCAAUGGGCGAAAGCCUGACGCAGCGACGCCGCGUGAGGGAUGACGGCCU
rnacentral:rRNA from 1 species